rnacentral:lncRNA from 1 species
UUUAUAUACAUCAUAAAAAAGGAAGACAAUAGUUGUUAAUACAAUAGAACAAUAACUGACAAUAUAUCUUCCUGCUUGGCACUUGCUAUCAUUCAGAUAGUACUGAUGAAAAUGACACUAUUAGGUUCUAUAUCACGGAGCAACGGAUCGAAAUUUUUUUACUUGAAUUAAAGAAAGUCACCUGGAGCAACAACCUACAUAUAUCAUCAAUAUUUUUCUACUUAAAAUAAAAAAUCUACUAAAUGUUUAAAAACAGCAAUAUGUGCUAAAUACUUUUAUCUAUCAUCAAUCUACAACUUCGAACAAUGUCCCAUGUUCCAUAUAUUAUUUAGCAUAAUAUGUUCAGUUUUAUAUUUGAAUUUUGUAGAUCGCCAAGAUAGCAACAGGGAUGACCUUUAACUUCUCAAGAUGGAAAGCAGGAUUCAUAAUUUUCCGGUGUUUGGCCCAUGUCUCACCCUCAGCACUUACAAGUCCACUUGCGAGCAACUUAAAUAAAGGAUUACCUCCCCUGAGUUUCUGGAAGUUAGAGGUCUUAUUUAAGGCCUCUUUUAUAAGAUUAGGGUCCGUGAUGUAGACUGCUGGUCGUGGCCCUAGCCACACAAAUGACUUCUUGCCUGCAAGAAAGUAUAACAUAAUUAAAGCCAUUAGAAAUUUUCAGUAAAAGGAGGAAGGAAUUGAGGACUAGUUUUCUUUUGCCAAGUUAACUGACUAGCGUUUGUAGUAAACAACUUUGAAAGGGUAGAGUUCAUAUUUUUUGAACAAUUAAGAUGAAAAAAUCACACACGCUUUGCUGGGAGUCUGGGACUACAGACUAGUCUCGCCGAAUGUGAGACAGCUGAGUAAAAAAACAGUACAUUGUCAAACUACAUACAAUAAGUACAGUCCAACUUCCAAUUGAAGCAAGGGUUCCUACUGAAAACUUAAGCAUAGAAACCUUCUAGAUUAACAAUAAGAAAUCUUUUGCUCACUGAUGAAAUAUUCUUGAUGAAUGACGAGCGCAUAUAAGAAAGAAUAUGUGUUUAACAACUUUAAAGAGUAAGAAUAAAAAUCCCUGGAGAAAAUCACCUUCGCGUAAUGCUCUCAAGACCUAGUAGUACAGUAGAUGGGCUUAUAUUCUAACACUCGCCAUAGGUCACUUAACUAGCAAAUUUGCCAUUUACUAAUCACAUGAUGCCUUGCUUUGAAUCAAGUUGGAAAGAUCCCUCAGAUGCGAUCGUGUCAACUAAAAGAUUUCAUUUUCGUAUAUAAGUUUGUCCAUUUAAGCUUGACAAUGACAAGGAUAAAUUACCCUUCCUCUUAAACCUAAAGGUGUUAUGAAAGGGCUUACCAAUAUUAUAUUAUAUAUUCAACAGAUAUGGACACUUGAAGAAUAAAGCUUCCAUGGAUAGUUGGCAGAACCAAAAUUCUUUCAUAAAUGAAAGUUCGGAGUUUCUUUGACAAGAGAUAAAAAUAAGCCGGUCAUGUGUUAACUUAGGUGUGUAAUGUUUCUAUAAUAUUCUGCGCUAAUGAGUGAUUGAGUUGUGCUAUUAGAAAACCGAUGUAUCACAAUGUGUUGUUUCACAUGUAGAUGCUUAAGAACUGAUUAUUAUGCGCAAAUAUGUUUACUUCUGUGGAAUACAGAUGACUUCUCCUUCACUAUGAACAACCAAGGCAGAUGAAUUGAUAUAAUUUGUCACUACUCACUAGGCUAAUCGUCAACUCACAAUUUUAAUGCUACAAUUUGUAAAAAUAUAAUAUACAAUCCAGUUAAAUCCUCCUCCCGACGUCAUAAGAUUUUAGAGAAACUAAUGCUACACCUCCACGUCUGCAAGAGGAGGCAGAAUCUUUUUAGCAUAACAAGUAUGUAUAAACCAUGGGAAAAGUUGGAGACCAUUAUUUUAUUGGAGACAUGCAAAGACCAUCAUAUUUUGUAUAAUAAUAUUUUUGCAAUGUUCAUGUACAAAAGUGGUCUUCAUUCCAAAAAACAGUUUAUGAGCUAAAAACUGCGGUUCAAAAAUGUUGUUUUUAGAUUUACAAAAUAGUUUUUCACAUAAUAAUUUUUUAAUCUAUUUAUUUAACAAAAUUAUUCCUCUGCUAUUGAAAUUAUUUAAAAAUACCCUUUCCGGAAAGUCUAAUUAAAGAAAAUAAAUACUAUACACUUAAUCGAAAGCUAAGAAUUCAAAAUUCAAAAUAGAUGAAAAACUGCUUGAUAUAUAUAAAAACAAUUUUUCAAAACAACAUGUUUUGAUUUUAUGAAAAGCAAGUCCAUGUGGUUUUCCAGCUUUUGCCGGAUUACACUAUCAAAACUCAAUAAAAACAUUUUUAUUAUAUUUUAAGUCAAAGAAAAAAUUAUAAGCUUACAACAUUUUUUUAACAAGGUGUUUUUCUAACACAAGACAAGGUGUUUUUAAUUGGACUUAGAAACAGAACCCGGAUAAAUGAAUGACGAAACGAAAACGCAUACCGUGUUUACUAAUAGCAGUAAAUACAGUUGGAGUAGCGCGAGGUAUAAUAUCGUCAGACAAACUGAUGGGCUUGGACCUGGCCUCUUUCCUAGCGGCAGCGAGUUCUUUAACGUCGCCAUACAAAAGCCUGUAAGGGUUUCCUUUAAAGCCCUGAUUUCUCAGAAUCUUUUCCAGCUUCUUGGGCCUGAUCCAAAUCCAGUUGAGUAGUCUCCAUGCUAACACCACAACGUAUGCCAAAACCAAGCUUCCUAUUACCUUGAAGUAUAUAUCUAACUCCAUCACUGUGUGUAUAGGUAUGUGUAAAAGAAAGAAGGUGAGAGGAUACCAGCGUGAUGUUUGAUGAUUUAGAGUGAGGAGUGAGGACUAAUGGACGAUGAUAUUUAUAUCUGUUUUUGGGGCUGAGAAUGACACUGAUAUUAUAUUUGUUUAGAAAAUUCAACAGAAUUAAUCAAAAAUUGAAUAUCAUCGUAUAUUAAAUAAUCUUAAUUGAAAAUCAUCAAAAUUUUGAGUAUAAAUUAAAAUCCUGAAAAUAUAAUCAAAUUUUAUAGUAUAAUUUAAAUUUUAAUUAAAUAUUUUAAGAUUCUGAUACCGUUUCUAAAAUCCGAAUCGGAUAUAACCAUAUUUGUUGAAGAAAAGUUUGUUUGAUAUUCCGAUUGAAUAUGCCGCUAAAAGCAAACCUGAUCGUGGUAAACUCUUAGAUAAAAAAUAGUUAACAUAUCAAAAAUAAAAAAUAAAAAUAACCUAAUGAAAAUAAGGUACUCCAACCAUAUUUUUUUGUCAAUAAUUUUAGUCAAACUCGUGAGGAUGAUUAUAAUUAUCGAAUCACUACAAAUUUAUAACAAAUGUCACAUUGCCAAUCAUCGUAACAAUAUAUUAUAUUAUAAUAACUUCAAAGAAGAAUAUGUUAUAUUUAAAAUAUAAUGAAUGAAUACAUGAAACAAAAUUUUACAAAUUCAACAAAAUUUACAUGAUAUAUUGAGAUCCAGUUCAACCAAUCAUUAUAACUAACUCAAAAUCAGAGAUGCCGAAAUAAAAUACUAUCUCUGUUCCAACCAUUUUUUAUGAUUUCUUUUUUGUUUCCAUCCAAUUAUUUAAAUUUCAAAAUUACCAAAUAUCAUCAACUGGUCUCACUACUUCUCCACAUUUUUCCUCUUUUCACACGACUUCUACUUCACUAUCUUUCUUUUAUACUGUAAAAUUUAAUUAGUCUUAUCAUUUCAUGCGUUUUUUUUUCUUUUUCUGCUGCUUUAUAUAUAUUUUUUAAACUUCAUGUCAAAAUCAUACAUAAAUAACGGGACGAUAAGUCGAUAACAAACGACAAGCGAGUGAAGUGUUUCCAUGGGUGGGACCGAAUUAAAUAUGUGGGUGUAUACGAUUUGGAAUUUUGUGCUUUGAGGUUAAUGUUGUACUUAAAACGGUUUUUCUGGUGUGCCCAAGGGCACACAGUAAGCACUAAAUUUUAUGAGUUUGGUGCAUUCUUAUUGGUCAUGUAGUCAUAAAUAUGGAUGGCCCCCCUGCAUUUACAAUUUUACACCAAACUCCACCAAUCAAAAUCCAAUAAACCCAUCAAAUUUAGUGCUUAAUGUGGCACUAGAAAGACCCUACUUAAAAUUCUUUUGAAUAAGCAAGCUGUCUGAUUUGAUAUAUUAUGAAAAUUCUACCUUUUGAGUUGUCAGAGUCAUGUUUUGAAAUUAUAUAAUUUCAUUGAUCAUUAUUAAAAUUAUAAAAUUAAUGUUGGGAUAAUGAUUUUUUUCUAGAAUAGUUAAAUUCACAAUUUUUUAUGGAUGUUCUUUUCAAAAUUUUCAUAUUUUGAAAUUCAUAAGGUAUAAUAGAAUUCAUAAGGUAUAAUAGAACUAGGAUGUGUACACUAGUCAGAAUUGGUCCAGUUGAGAGCAUUUUCAUAACCCAAAGGCUCGUUUGGUUUUGAGAUGUGGUUAUAGGUUUGGAUUUUGUCCAUUUCAAAUAGUCAGCAGGAAGGCGGAUAUGAGAUAUAAGUAUGCAAAUAAAUUUAUCUUAGAUACUUUUUCUUUUUUUAAGUAAUUAAAUGUUAAUGUUGGAUAUUAUAAUAAUUGAUGAUACAAAAAUAUAUGAUAAUAAUAUUUUAAUUAAAUAUAAAUUUAUAAUUAAUUUUUAAAAAAUCAAAUAUAUUAUUUUCAGGACUUAACUAAACACAUGAUAUAAAAUAUGAUACUAUUCUUCAUUCCAACCUCAUACCUAUACUAUUGUACGAAUCAAACGAUUAUAUCUGUCACUGUCCAACCCUCUAGUUGAAGUUAGUUUGGGUUAGUUUAGAUGGAUAAUUCAUAAAUAUUUAGAAUUAGAAAAAGUUAUAUAAAAUGCAAUCAAUUAAUUUUACAUGUGUUCUAGAACUUGAUAUUGUCAUUUAUUUAUCAUACUCCCUCUGUCCUAUUUUAGUUGUCACAUUUGGUUUUAUACCGAUCAAAUUGACUAAAAUUUGACUGAAAUUUAUUAAUAUUUUAUUAACUGAUAAAAUUAAAAAAAAAAUAUCAUCGGAAAUAACUUUUAAUCUACUUUAAGAUGUAAUUUUCAGUUUUUUAAAAUAAUGAAAGAGUGAUUCAUAAUUUUUAGUCAAAAUUUAAUCAAUUUGACCAAUAAAAAUAGAAAUUUGACAAUUAAAAUGGGACGGAGGGAGUAUGAUAUAUAUUAAACAUGAAUUUGCAUUUUUAGUCAAGUUUCAGGUGGUUUGUUAUGAUCAUCGAUCAUGACAGUAUUUUCCCUGAACUUGCAGCUUGACGCAUUUGUAAGUAUUUUUGUAACUAUUUUGUUAUAUCACAUACUCCUGUGAAACAAUUAUUUAUUAUAUUUUAUCGUGGCAAAUAAAAAUAUUAUUAUAUUUCAGAUGAAAUAAAUAUUUAUGUGCAUCAUAUUUAUGGAGUUAAUAAUAUAAAUAUAUAAUUUUGAUUUUAAUAUGUUUUUAAAUUCUAGUCUGAAAUUUUUAAUAAUAUAUUAAAUAUAAAAUAUAUAAUAUUUUUAAAUAUAACAAUUCUCACCUAUAUAUUUUAUACAAAAUUUAAUUAAAACAAUCAGAUAUACACAAAAUAUCUGCCAAUAAAUAAAAUUUUAUUUACUUCUUUUUACUUGAUAAAAUUAAAAUAUAAAUACAAACUUAGAUUUGCUAAUGUAUCUAUAUGCUUUUAACAAAAUUUAUGUACCCUGCAUAGGAGAUGAGAGAAAGCAAAAUCAACUCAAGGGACGUUUGAAUUAAGACUGGGAAUGAGAAUCGGGGCUCAUUAAUCAUGAACUAAACAUCACGAAGCAAGUUAACAUAAUAGAUAUACAAAAAUCAAAAUGAGUGACAUAUGCUCUGACGAUCUUUGUCAUUUUCGUUCAUCGAAUUGUAUAGUCAACUUUGGACCAAACCACUACAUAACCACAACAUUACACCAAAAGAAAAAUGAUGGUGCCGGGCCGGUGCCGUUCUUUGAUUUUUAUCUAAUAAUACACGGGCUGAAGUAAUCUUAAGAAAAUAUUUGUUACUUAUAAUAAUAGAUUAAUUAUAAAUGAAAAAUAAUUUUAUUUCAUAUGUUUUAAUAAUUUUUUUGAUGUUUACACCUUAUUAGGUAUAAAAAUUAUUAAUACAAUAACAAAUUAUUAUAGAUUAUCUUUUUUAAAGUGAUAUUCUGCAUAUUUGUAAAAUCAAAUUUUAAAACCAAAAAUAAUACACAAAAAAAUUAGAAUUUUCAACUUCAUUUAUAAAUUGAAAAUUAAUUUAUAAAUAAGUUGGCAAGUGCCGGCUAAACGCUAAAUAAAUUUCUGUGCCCAUGACACCACAGAAAAACUGACAAAAUAAGCUGCUUCUGGUCGGGCUUAACACCCUCGUGAUACCUUCUAUUUCAUUCCAACAAGUUGUCCAUAGACCGGGUCAGUGAAUGAACAAUGAUCCAGUAAAUGGAGGCAGAGACCAGACCGUAGAUAAGGAUCUGGAAAGAUAUACUCAUGAUGUCCUAGCCGGGACUGGUCUGAACCUUCAAUUCUUGUUGGGUGAGUGAACCAUCUUCCUUCGCCAUUAUCCCUUUAUUCAAACAAACAGUGCCUCACUUAUUGUAUCACUUACUAUUUCAUUCCAACAAGUUGUCUGGUUAGCUAAUCCAGACCAUACUGUUAAAAUCACAAAUAUUUAACACGAGGUUUGUCAUAUAUAUAUCUACAUUGCUACAAGAUUUAUUUUCCAUUAUUUAUACUGAAUAGUCGCUCAAGGCUACAGAUAAUGAAGUAUAAAGACAGUUUCACAGCAAAGUACAAGCUACUCAAUUCCAGGCUUAUAUUUCUUCAUGUAAUCAAACAUCAAUUACCCGCACAUGUCAGGUUCUCAUAGUACUUUUAGAAUCAAGUUUGCCCCAUGUUGAGGUGGUAUAGUUAGGACGGUGGAAGGAGCGUGUCUAUAGGAUGGGGAAAGCACAAAAGAAAAGCGUUGUAGAUCAUUGAUAGUGCCAUUUUAGCUUCCAGCAUUGCAAAAUUUUGUCCAAUGCAAAUUCGCGGACCUAAGCCAAAUGGAAAAUAUACUCCUUUUCCCUUUGUUGCUUUUGACACGCCUUCAGAAAAUCUCUCCGGGUUGAAUUCCUUAGCAUCAUCACCCCAGAUUUCUUUGUCAUGAUGCAUUAGGAUGAUAGGUAGCUGCACUGAUACUCCAGCCGGUAGAAAUAUCUCUCCUAAUUUGACAUCUUGAUAUACAGCACGACUUAGGAAAAUUGCGGGUGGGUAUAAUCUUAAACUCUCAAGCAAAAUCAUAUUAACCUGUAGAACAAAGACAUUUAAAGCACUAGUUCAACAUGUACCUUUGUCAAUAUACAAAUAUUCUAAACAUCCAUUAACAUGCAACUUAAAUUAUAGUAACGGAUAUGCAACUUAAAUUAUAGUAACAAAAAAUUAUCGACCCUUUUCUGCUAUCAUAUUAUACAUCAUAAUAUUUGAUAAAUAUUGAAACAAGUUCAUACUUGCAAGUUGAUAACUUUGUUAAAAACGUUACUAAGUGCUUAAUCUAAAACUUACAAGUUUUAGGCGAUUCAACCCAUCAAGAUCUGGUUUAUCGUUUCCAAAGACCUGCAAAACUUCUUCUCUGGCACGCUCUUGCCAAUCUGAAUGCUGACUCAAUAGAAUCAUAGCCCACGUAAGUAGAUUUGAGGUUGUCUCUUGUCCAGCAAAAUAGAAUAACUUACACUCUUCGAUAACCUCAUCCACAGACAUUCCAUAUUUCAUAUUUUUGUUUUCUUUGAUUUCUUCAGAACUUGAUUUCAACAAUAAACCCAACAAAUCGUCAUGAAUAUACUCUUCUACUUUCAUUGCCAACAACCGCUUGUUAAUCAUAGACCUCAGUGCAGAUCUCACCUCACUCUCAAUCUGCUUCAUCCUUUUCAUUCUUUUGGUUGGCAAAAAUCUACAUUUAAAAGAUUAUAAUAAACAUCAAUCCGAGUAGAUGAAACACCAGAAGAUUUACAGAGAGGAGGAAUAAAAACCUCAUUCCUGGGAGGUACAAUGUUUGUGCAGCUUGCAUCAACAGCUCUGCUUGUUCUUUCUGUAGUUGAAAUAUUUGUCUGCCUUCUGCAUAGCUACUUCCAAAGGCUGUACGUGAAAUGACAUCAGCUGUUAGAGUUCCCAAAUCAGGCCAUACAUCCAACUCGCAUUGCCCCUCAGUUGAAACCAUUUUCUCCCAUUUGCUCAUGAUCUCAAUACAACUCAAAUACAUGGCUGGCAGCAUAUCCUGUUUAUAUACAUCAUAAAAAAGAAAGACAAUAGUUGUUAAUACAAUAGAACAAUAACUGACAAAAUAUCUUCCUGCUUGGCACUUACUAUCAUUCAGAUAGUACUGAUAAAAAUGACAUUAUUAGGUUCUAUAUCAUGGAGUAACGGAUCGAAAAUCUUUUACUUGAAUUAAGUUAUGUAAUAGCAUCCAUACUAAAGAAAGUCACCUGGAGCAACGACCUACAUAUAUCAUCAACAUUUUUCUACUAACAAAAAAAAAAAUCUACUAAAAGUUUAAAAACAGCAAUAUGUGCUAAAUACUUUCAACUAUCAUCAAUCUACAACUUCGAACAAUGUCCCAUGUUCCGUAUAAAUUUAAGCUUAAUAUAUUCAGUAUUAUAAUGUUUGAGUUUGGUAGAGGGCCAAUAUAGCUACAGGGAUGACCUUUAACUUCUCAAGAUGGAAAGCAGGAUUCAUAAUUUUCCGGUUUUUGGCCCACGUCUCACCCUCAGCACUUGCUAGUCCAUUUGCGAGCAACUUAAAUAAAGGAUUACCUCCCCUGGGCUUCUGGAAGUUAGAGGUCUUAUUUAAGGCCUCUUUUAUAAGAUU